CCUAACACAUGCAAGUCGAGCGACUCUUCGAGAGGAGCGGCGAACGGCUGAGUAACACGUUGGAACCUACCCCAGACUCAGGGAUAACAUACCGAAAGGUAUGCUAAUACCGGAUAGUCUCGUAAGAGUAAAGCUUUUGCGGUCUGGGAGGGGCCUGCGGCCUAUCAGUUAGUUGGUGAGGUAAAAGCUCACCAAGACUAUGACGGGUAGCUGAUCUGAGAGGAUGAUCAGCCAGAAUGGGACUGAGACACGGCCCAUACUCC
rnacentral:rRNA from 1 species